GACGAACGCUGGCGGCGUGCCUAAUACAUGCAAGUAGAACGCUGAAGCGAGGAGCUUACUCUUCUUGGAUGAGUUGCGAACGGGUGAGUAACGCGUAGGUAACCUGCCUUGUAGCGGGGGAUAACUAUUGGAAACGAUAGCUAAUACCGCAUAACAAUGGAUGACACAUGUCAUUUAUUUGAAAGGGGCAAUUGCUCCACUACAAGAUGGACCUGCGUUGUAUUAGCUAGUAGGUGAGGUAAUGGCUCACCUAGGCGACGAUACAUAGCCGACCUGAGAGGGUGAUCGGCCACACUGGGACUGAGACACGGCCCAGACUCCUACGGGAGACAGCAGUAGGGAAUCUUCGGCAAUGGGGGCAACCCUGACCGAGCAACGCCGCGUGAGUGAAGAAGGUUUUCGGAUCGUAAAGCUCUGUUGUAAGUCAAGAACGGGUGUGAGAGUGGAAAGUUCACACUGUGACGGUAGCUUACCAGAAAGGGACGGCUAACUACGUG
rnacentral:rRNA from 1 species